CCGUCGAUAGCUCAGUUGGUAGAGCGGUGGACUGUAGAGGUACCCUGCUGACAUCCAUAGGUCGCUGGUUCGAAUCCGGCUCGACGGA
rnacentral:tRNA from 1 species